rnacentral:hammerhead_ribozyme from 1 species
AGCAGCUGACGAGUCCGAAAUAGGACAAAACGCGCAUCCUGUAU